rnacentral:rRNA from 1 species
UACAGAGGUCUCGAGCGUUGUUCGGAUUCAUUGGGCGUAAAGGGUGCGUAGGCGGCGCGGUAAGUCGGGUGUGAAAUCUCGGGGCUUAACUCCGAAACUGCAUUCGAUACUGCCGUGCUUGAGGACUGGAGAGGAGACUGGAAUUUACGGUGUAGCGGUGAAAUUCGUAGAUAUCAGGAGGAACACCAAUGGCGAAGGCAGCACUCUGGGACGUGACUGACGCUGAGACGCGAAAGCGUGGGGAGCAAACAGG